GAUACGCGCACCUCACCCCUCCCCUCCUGGCCUGCCUCUUCUCGCUCCCAUUCGUUUCCCACGCAGAUAACAAUGGCGACGGCGGCGGCGGCGCCAUCGGGGCGGGGAAGAUGGCGGCGAGCUGAAUAAUGGCGAGUCCGACUUCUUCGUGUCCGUCUGGCGCUGGCUGCGGUGUUGGCGACAAUCCGAGGGCGUUUGUGCGUUGCGGAUCCGGGAGACCGGAGGCCCUUGCGGUGGGUCUCGCGUUCGAAAGCUUCGCCGGAUGUGGUGAUGGUGACCGGAGCGGAGUCGGAGUUGGGGCUACAGGCCCUGUUUUCGGAUUAUGGUUUGUGGUGGUUCAUCUAUCUUCGUGUCUUUGGUGUGUUGGAGCCAUGAUGAAGGACCUAUUAUGCGGCCUCAAAAGCCAUAGAUGGCGAUGCGGGGAAAUGGCUUCUUUCGGCUCGAGCAGACGACGAGCGGCCGGCCGGCAGGUGGUUAAGGCGAGCCUGGAGUUUAAUGUUGUAAGGAUCGUUGUGCUUAGGUUGCAGGGCUUGUGGUCUGUUUCCGUCUUUGUUUGUGUACGGAGUGCUUGUAUUUGUUGUUGUCAUGUACUGCGUAUAAGAAUAUGAAUACAAGCAUCCUUUUCUAAA